GUGGAACCAUCCCCCUUUGCCCAAGUUUCCACUUCCCCCAUUCAAAGGCUUCCACCACCAUUAUCCAAUAAUCCCUCCCAUCUACAAGAAACCUCUUCCGCCACCGUCCCCGGUGUACAAGCCCCCUCCAGUUCCCGUAAACCCACCUGUUCCAAUCUAUAAACCUCCACCAGUUCCAGUCUAUAAACCUCCUCCAGUUCCAGUAAAACCACUUCCUCCACCUGUUCCGAUCUACAAACCUCCACCAGUUGAAAAACCACAUCCUCCACCUGUUCCAAUCUACAAACCUCCACCAGUUGAAAAACCACAUCCUCCACCUGUUCCAAUCUACAAACCUCCACCAGUUGAAAAACCACAUCCUCCACCUGUUCCAGUUUAUAAACCUCCACCAGUUGAAAAACCACAUCCUCCACCUGUUCCAGUCUAUAAACCUCCACCAGUUCCAGUAUAUAAGAAACCAUGUCCUCCACCAGUUCCAGUCUAUAAAUCUCCUCCGGUUCCAGUAUACAAGAAACCGCAUCCUCCUCCAGUUCCAGUCUAUAAGAAACCACAUCCACCUCCAGUUCCAGUAUACAAGA
rnacentral:lncRNA from 1 species